rnacentral:rRNA from 1 species
UACGUAGGGUGCAAGCGUUGUCCGGAAUUAUUGGGCGUAAAGAGCUCGUAGGCGGUCUGUCGCGUCGGCUGUGAAAUCCCGAGGCUCAACCUCGGGUCUGCAGUCGAUACGGGCAAACUAGAGUAUUGCAGGGGAGACUGGAAUUCCUGGUGUAGCGGUGGAAUGCGCAGAUAUCAGGAAGAACACCCGUGGCGAAGGCGGCUCUCUGGAACGCAACUGACGCUGAGACGCGAAAGCGUGGGGAGCAAACAGG